rnacentral:lncRNA from 1 species
CACUCAUAUUGUAUAGCUUUUUGUUAGGUAGAAGGAAACAAAAUGGAAUUAACAAUGAUAAAGAAAGAAGUAGAAUGAUCAUAUCACUCAAGUGAAUAACCAAGUCAUUUCGGAGGUUGACCAAAGUUGGAAUGAGUGGGACGUCGAAGUGGAGGUGGACUCAAGUUUUUAAUGGAUGUUGAGGAAUUAGAUAACACAAAAUUUGAUGUAGAACCUUCAAGAG